rnacentral:rRNA from 1 species
UGGGGAAUAUUGCACAAUGGGCGCAAGCCUGAUGCAGCCAUGCCGCGUGUGUGAAGAAGGCCUUCGGGUUGUAAAGCAACUUUCAGCGAGGAGGAAGGUGGUGAACUUAAUACGUUCAUCAAUUGACGUUACUCGCAGAAGAAGCACCGGCUAACUCCGUGCCAGCAGCCGCGGUAAUACGGAGGGUGCAAGCGUUAAUCGGAAUUACUGGGCGUAAAGCGCACGCAGGCGGUUUGUUAAGUCAGAUGUGAAAUCCCCGGGCUCAACCUGGGAACUGCAUUUGAAACUGGCAAGCUAGAGUCUCGUAGAGGGGGGUAGAAUUCCAGGUGUAGCGGUGAAAUGCGUAGAGAUCUGGAGGAAUACCGGUGGCGAAGGCGGCCCCCUGGACGAAGACUGACGCUCAGG